GAAUUUUGGGCAAUGGCCGCAAGGCUGACCCAGCGACGCCGCGUGCGGGAGGACGCCUUUCGGGGUGUAAACCGCUGUCAGAGGGGACGAACCGCCGGAGGGGGAAUACGCCUUCGGUCUGACGGUACACUCACAGGACGCGCCGGCUAACUCCGUGCCCGCAGCCGCGGUAAUACGUAGGUGGCAAGCGUUGUCCGGAUUUACUGGGCGUAAAGGGCGUGCAGGCGGUUUGUUAAGUCUAGGGUGAAAGCUCCCGGCUCAACUGGGAGAGGUCCUUGGAUACUGGCAGACUUGAGGAGGGUAGAGGAGAGUGGAAUUCCCGGUGUAGUGGUGAUAUGCGUAGAUAUCGGGAGGAACACCAGUGGCGAAGGCGGCUCUCUGGGCCCUACCUGACGCUGAGACGCGAAAGCGUGGGGAGCGAA
rnacentral:rRNA from 1 species